GAGGUGGAGAGGCGGCGUGGCUGCUGCAGGUGCGAGCCAGCGGCCGGGAGCCAGUCCCCCUCCCGCUCUGGCGGCCCGGGGCUGGCCGGGGCCACGUCCUCCUCGGUUGUCACGUCUUCCUGGUCGAAGGCUUCUGAGUCUCUGGGGCUUUUCUCUGGCCUGGGCCCCUUAAUCCAGAGUUCAAGGCCAUCAGCCAUCCAAGGAAGCCACACCCCAAGGCAUGCGCCCAACUGGAGAUUCUGUGCCCAGGGUCGAGCUGAGACUGUUCCCUGCCCCCAUCCCUCGAAGCUCCCCACUUCCCGGCGGGCAGAGAACAAGGUCAAGAGGCGGAGCCUGGCUCUCUCCAAGUAUCCCAGCUACUUCUGGCCUGCAUUUCCCCCGCCCUCUCCAGCCCCCCACUAGCUGGAGGUGCUAAGUUUCUCCUCCCCCUCCCCUCCCCUUCCUUUGGAGCUUUGUGGCUUCCAAAGAGUCCUUUCGCUUCUCUGAACUGCUGAUUCUCCUUCUUGGAGGAGCUGUCAACUUCAUAGGAUUGCUGUGAGAGUAAAAUUUAGAGAUGGGUG